GAGUUUGAUUAUGGCUCAGGACGAACGCUGGCGGCGUGCCUAAUACAUGCAAGUAGAACGCUGAAGACUUUAGCUUGCUAAAGUUGGAAGAGUUGCGAACGGGUGAGUAACGCGUAGGUAACCUGCCUACUAGCGGGGGAUAACUAUUGGAAACGAUAGCUAAUACCGCAUAACAGCAUUUAACCCAUGUUAGAUGCUUGAAAGGAGCAAUUGCUUCACUAGUAGAUGGACCUGCGUUGUAUUAGCUAGUUGGUGAGGUAACGGCUCACCAAGGCGACGAUACAUAGCCGACCUGAGAGGGUGAUCGGCCACACUGGGACUGAGACACGGCCCAGACUCCUACGGGAGGCAGCAGUAGGGAAUCUUCGGCAAUGGGGGCAACCCUGACCGAGCAACGCCGCGUGAGUGAAGAAGGUUUUCGGAUCGUAAAGCUCUGUUGUAAGAGAAGAACGUGUGUGAGAGUGGAAAGUUCACACAGGACG
rnacentral:rRNA from 1 species